rnacentral:rRNA from 1 species
CACGUAGGGGGCGAGCGUUGUCCGGAAUUAUUGGGCGUAAAGAGCUCGUAGGCGGCCUGUUGCGUCCGCUGUGAAAGCCCGGGGCUUAACCCCGGGUCGGCAGUGGAUACGGGCAGGCUAGAGGUAGGUAGGGGAGAAUGGAAUUCCCGGUGUAGCGGUGAAAUGCGCAGAUAUCGGGAGGAACACCGGUGGCGAAGGCGGUUCUCUGGGCCUUACCUGACGCUGAGGAGCGAAAGCGUGGGGAGCAAACAGG